CCGGCGACCGGCGCACGGGUGAGUAACACGUAUGCAACCUGCCCGUCUCAGGGGGAUAAUCGUCGGAAACGGCGUCUAAUACCCCGUAUGAAGCUGGACGGCAUCGUCUGGUUUUGAAAGAAUAUCGGAGACGGAUGGGCAUGCGGCGCAUUAGCUAGUUGGCGGGGUAACGGCCCACCAAGGCGACGAUGCGUAGGGGUUCUGAGAGGAACGGUCCCCCACACUGGUACUGAGACACGGACCAGACUCCUACGGGAGGCAGCAG
rnacentral:rRNA from 1 species